rnacentral:lncRNA from 1 species
GACUUGCGGACUUCAACUCCCAACUCUCCAGCUGGCUGGGGAAUUCUGGGAGUUGGAAGUCCACAAGUCUUAAAGUCGACAAGUUUUGAGACUUCUGCUUUAUUGGAAGUAUUGGAUAAAUCCUCCACUAAUAUCACCCAGAACGCCUUUUCGAUUCGAGUAGAAAAAAAAAUCUUCAUGCAAAAUCAUAAGCACUUUGGGAGGUUCCCCCCCCCCCCCUUUAUUUUGUAAUUUUUUUGGGGAAUACAGGGGGGGGGGGGGAAUAUUCCUAAAAUAAAGAGGAAGGAGAAGAAAGCAUAAAAUAUCUCUGUGCUUUUGCUGUCUCGUCAAUAUCCUACAGAAGGAGAACGAAUCUGGCCCUCUAAUGCUUGAAAUUCUUCUUCUUUCUAAGAAUUUCAAGCAUUAGAGGGCCAGAUUGCAUAAGGGGGAGGACUGUCCAGUACGCAGUUUCCUUUCCCAGACUUGCAUACGUUCUUUCGCUUUUUUCCCUUAAGCCGUCAUGAUUCAUAAUGUCGCGUUUAGAUGAUAUCGCUGUAACUGUUCCCGCUUGGUUUCGUGUCGUCGAUUAUGCGGAAUUUCUCUGGCCAAACUCACGAGUUUCCGCGAGGAAGCGGGGAAGAGCCAAAGAAAGGGUUGCUAUUUCGUCCCUUCCCUUCUCCCUUUGCCUGCAGCCCCCUCGUCGCGGAAAAUUUAUGACACCCGGGAAGCAGGCGUGGGCCAGGAUUCGAGCACCACCAUCGACUUCGACGAGGACAAAUACCGGCGGAGACCGACACUCAGCUGGCUCGCCCAGCUGCUCAAGAACCGCUUCGGUACCCGGAAGCAGCCACGAUCGUUAAUGCAGAGGUUUGUCAUCUUCCUUCUGAUCGGCGGGAUUGGUUUCCUGACGCUCGUCGUCGUCAUGAUGAAGCUCGGCCGGGCUUCAGCUGACAACGACCCCAGCCUGGACCCCAAGUUCAACCCUCACAUCCGAGUGGGACAGUAGUGGGUAGGGCCAGCCUCUCCUUCGCCGCGUGGCCCCGUAACCCCAACUCUUGGGCUCUUCCUCCUGGCGGCAGAAGUGCACCCUGGAGGGAGGCCCGGGGGUUGCAGCUGCUGGAUGUGUCUCUGUGAGCUUCCCAGCCUGGACAGACAAGGUUGGUUGGGACACCUUUGAAGCUUGGAUGAAGGUAGGCCAGUUAAAAGACGGUCCAUCUCUCCCUCCUCCUCCUCCUCCUCUCCGCAGUCUGAUGGACUUGCCAGUGGCAAAAUUUUGUUGUCCUAAUUAUGCAGGUGGGCAGUUUAAGGACAGGAUUGAACUAGCAAUCUUAAAGAUCACAACGCGCCCCCCAGCCUUCCCCACUUCCCAUUUUUCUUCUCUCAGUGCUGCUCGGUAGGUGGGUGGGCAAAAUAAUUCCCCGUCUCUCUUUUCUCGCGACCCGGCAAGA